UACCAGCUCUCCGAGUGGUAGGGAUGAUUAUUGGGCUUAAAGCGUCCGUAGCCGGCUUAGCAAGUCUCCUGUUAAAUUCAGCGACCUAAUCGUUGAGCCGCGGGAGAUACUACUAGGCUAGGAGGCGGGAGAGGUCAACGGUACUUCCGGGGUAGGGGUGAAAUCCUAUAAUCCCGGGAGGACCACCAGUGGCGAAGGCUGUUGACUAGAACGCGCUCGACGGUGAGGGACGAAAGCUGGGGGAGCGAACCGGAUUAGAUACCCGGGUAGUCCCAGCUGUAAACGAUGCGAGCUAGGUGUUGGGGUGGCUACGUGCCACUUCAGUGCCGCAGGGAAGCCAUUAAGCUCGCCGCCUGAGGAGUACGGCCGCAAGGCUGAAACUUAAAGGAAUUGGCGGGGGAGCACCACAAGGCGUGAAGCUUGCGGUUC
rnacentral:rRNA from 1 species